rnacentral:rRNA from 1 species
UACAGAGGUCUCAAGCGUUGUUCGGAUUCAUUGGGCGUAAAGGGUGCGUAGGUGGCGCCAUAAGUCGGGUGUGAAAUCUCGGGGCUUAACUCCGAAACUGCAUUCGAUACUGCCGUGCUUGAGGACUGGAGAGGAGACUGGAAUUUACGGUGUAGCGGUGAAAUGCGUAGAUAUCGUAAGGAAGACCAGUGGCGAAGGCGGGUCUCUGGACAGUUCCUGACACUGAGACACGAAGGCCAGGGGAGCAAACGGG